AUAGUCCCAAAAUGUACACAACUUUAAAUAAUGUAAAAAACCUGUCACAGAAUAAGAAUAUAUGAAUAACUCAAUUUUGACAAAAAUGUCAGACAGAACCGAAGAACCUAAAAUGUUAUGAAACCAAGUGUAUGUUUUACAGGAAGCCACAGCUGAUGGAUGAUUACAGCUACUGUACUUCCAUAUGUUUACAGAUGCCAUUGCUUUGUUUGAAUAAAAUGCUGUAUAUUUCUCUAUCUCCCUCCUCCCUCUCUGUUCUACUGUAGCUAAACUACUGCCACAUCAACACUAGGAGUACACUGGAGUACGAGAGAAGACAGUAAUGAAGGGAAAAAAACUGUAGGGGGGAGCAGAUGUCCUGAAGUCGAACUCAUAGAGGAGGAGUGAAGAGAAGACAGACACAUGCCUUCAAGUAGUUUUCUCUCCAGAAAGAAGGUCAGGAGGAGGAGGGAAAAGAUUUAAGGAGAGUGGAAUUAAAGUUCUUCCUGGAGAAUGUCUUGCACCUGACUGGCAUCCUUGCAUGUGCUGUCAUUUUGUGAGCCUCUGAAAAGGAAAAUCUCACGCACAACGGGAGAGGGGGACAGAGAUUAGCUCCACAUACAGACAUCAUGUAAACAAACCCUCACAAGCCAAGGAGAACAGGGAGGCUGGACGAGAGGAAAAUGGGCUUUCUUCCUUUGCCUGCCAUCUGAUCAGGAGUCUUGGAAGGAUAUUUUGUCAGACUGCCAAGCUGUGCUGUCAAUUGGAAGCAAGAGUUUUCCUCUCUUCUAUUGACCUUCAUUUAAUAUUCUUCCUCAGACUUCAUAAAUUUAAAGUCCCAGAACAGGUCAGUGUAAUGAUGAUACAGGAGUACAGUGUUCUUAUCCAACACAUAACUAUUCCAGCAUCAACAUAUUAUCUGUUAAAAACAGAGAAUGCUUCAUAAAUUACCGCCAGGCUGGUGAGAAGGUUUUAUUUUUGGCAGUAGAAGAGAAACUCAGCAUCUGUAAAGUACUAAAGAGGCUUCAAAUCACCAUGUAGAGAUUUAAACACCAGAAUAAUCUAAUAAAAAAUGUUGUCAAAACUAUGAUUUUAAAAUAAAAAAUGUCACAUCACUAGAUCAUAUUAGCGUAAUUGAUUAGCAGAUGUGAAACUGAAAGAAAAGGGGGGAAAGAACAUAAACAAGAGUAUCCACACAGCAUGACUGACGCCCUCUACUGGCCCUCCAGUGCAUGACCGAGAAAAAGAUUUGAGAUUUCAUAAAGAGCCUCCAAUGAAGAGAACUAACCUGAGAUGAGAUUGUAACACCUGAAUAAAUAAAAGUGAGUAAAAGGGUCCAGGAGAGUUCCCGUUCAAAAUGUUCAGGAUUUUCAUCUCUUAUGUAAUAACCUCUAAAUGCAAAGUUUCAUACAUAAAUAUAGGGUCCCCCCAAAUGAAUCUCAGCCAUUUCUUUAUCCAAAAUCAACACUUUUUCCCUGAGGUGUUUCACACAUGUCUGUAUAUUAGGAUUCUCUUUCAAAUCCUCUGACAUGUCUGAAGUCAGCUAACAUGUAGUUCUUUUUAAUAUUUGUACCAUUUGCAAGGUCUGAAAACUGAUCUACAACCAGUUGAGAACAACUGAUGCAUUAUACAAAGUAAUUGAGAGAAGGACAAGGAGACAUUGUAGAGGACUGAUGUAGGGAGAGGAACGGGCCAGGAAGAGAAAGUGAAGAAACAAAGAAAGAAAAACAAACACAAAGAAAUUAAAUGAAAUAAAAAAAUAAAAAAAAACAGAACAAAAGAAAGUGAGCAAUUGCAAAGUCUGAAGGAAUGAAAGGAAAGAUGGAAAAAGGGGAACGUCAAAGAGGAAAAAAAAAAAAACACAUGAGUCAAGCAAUAGCAUCAUCCAACCAGAUUCCAACGUGUCAAAUAAACAAGUACACAAUCAGAAGAGAGAGAAGCGGAAUUAAAUGGGUAUAUAACUAAUAUAACAACAGCUGCUGGAGAUCACACACACUCUCAGCCACACCCAUUCAUCUCUCACACACAUACAGUAUAAAAAAGAUAUUUUUGUGCCCCGCAGGCAUCACCUGUGUGGGUGGAGUGGAUAAGGAUGUGUGGUAAUGUGGGUGAGGCUAAUUGUAGUGUUUUGGGGCAUAACAGUCACAGUCUUUCUGAUAACUGAUUUAGUAUCCACUUUUGAAAUAUAUAUUGCUUAGUAUUUGAGGUCUGUUUUAAUGUUUUAGAUAUCUAUUAUUCUGAUAAAAAGUCAAAAUUUCUAACUCAGUUCUAAAUCUGGAUAAUAGAUUACGAGUAAAACAUAAGACUAAUUAGAAUGAAUCUGUUGGUCGGUAUGCUGUGAAUAUUUCGUCUAGUCCACUCGGCCACCCACAGGGCGGCUGCUGGUGUCAUGCUGGCUUGACAUGUCCGGUGCAGACGGCAGGACGAAGAUCAGUGUUUCUCAGGAUUUUCUAGAAAUAACAAACCAGUUCUUCUCCCUCACGGCUUCUCUGUUUUCCAUUCUGAGUGCAAAAUAGGCAACACUUUACAAUAUUACCCUAUAAGUUAACUUUAGUUAAUGCAUCAACUAACAUUAACUAACAAUAACUAAUACAUUUGUUACAGU